UAUGUGAUCGUCUCUCGCAUAUCAAUAAGCGGAGGAAAAGAAACUAACAAGGAUUCCCCUAGUAACGGCGAGUGAAGCGGGAAGAGCUCAAAUUUGAAAUCUUAAAGGGUUUCCCUUUACGAAUUGUAGUUUAAAGAAGUGUUUUCUGUUGAGGUUUUGGUAAAAGUUCUUUGGAAUAGGACAUCAUAGAGGGUGAGAAUCCCGUAUUUGACCUUUACUUUCAACUUUGUGAUACACUUUCAAAGAGUCGGAUUGUUUGGGAAUGCAGUCCAAAAUGGGUGGUAAAUUUCAUCUAAAGCUAAAUAUUGGCGAGAGACCGAUAGCGAACAAGUACCGUGAGGGAAAGAUGAAAAGAACUUUGAAAAGAGAGUUAAACAGUACGUGAAAUUGUCAAAAGGGAAGCGUUUGACACCAGUGUUGUUUUUCUGAAAAUCAAUUAAAGAACUGUUUAUGCUAAGUUGUUUAGACUUUAUCAGCUAAUCUGCUUAGUUUUGAGCUUUUCUUUAAUGCACUUUUCAGUUAACAAGUCAACAUCAAUUUCUUUUGCUGUAAAAAAGCUUGAGGAAGGUGGCUUGAGAUUCGUCUUAAGUGUUUAUAGCCUCUUGCCUAUGCAGUCGGAGAGAUUGAGGUCUGCAGCGUAGAUCCUUCGGGGCUAAAUGCAUUUGUGCUAAGUUAUAGCAUUUUAUAGACAACUUGUUGACUAUGAUUUGUCUUGUAGCUUACUCGCUUAUGUUAUUUUACCUACGCUUAGGAUGUUGAAGAUAUGCGCGACACG
rnacentral:rRNA from 1 species